AUUGCGUUGCAGUGCACUCUUGUAGUCAGUCCGGAAGCCCUCCAGUUUCUUCGGUAGUGACUCCCGCAAUUUCACUUCCAGGAAUGAACUGCAAACCAUCGCAAUUCAACCAAGAGAGAGGUAUUUCAGUGAUUACAGGAACAGUAAAGUGGUUUAACGACGCCAAGGGCUUCGGCUUCAUUACCCCGUCGGACGGCGGCAAGGAUGUGUUCGUGCAUCACUCCGCCAUUCUGGGUAGCGGCUUCAAGACCUUGACCGAGGGACAGCAGGUGAAGUUUGAGCUGCAGCAGGGCCCGAAGGGCCCGUCGGCGGCCAACGUCCAGCCGGCCUGACCAUCAGGCACUGCGCAAGCAGGCUUGAAACCAAGACCCCGCCGUACGGCGGGGUCUUUUUU
rfam:Candidatus Muproteobacteria bacterium RBG_16_65_31 RBG_16_scaffold_39356, whole genome shotgun sequence.